rnacentral:lncRNA from 1 species
AUCACUAAUGAUACAUGGCUCAAAUUCUCAACUCUUGAGAAUAUGCAUCAUCAUCUUAUUAAUUCUUUGGACGAUUCAUAGACACCAUAAUAAUAUGAAUGGAAAAGAUGCCUUUCAUUUAUUCAAUAAUAAUAAAGUCAAGUACAAAUUAUGUCCUAGAAUUAAUAAUGUGUCAGCCAAAAUUGGCUUCUAGGGCAUAC